rnacentral:rRNA from 1 species
AUGUCCGAUCCAGCGCCGCCGAUUUCUCCAUGGAGUGCAUGGGGUUCUAUCCUAGGUCGCUCGCCGGUCACGGGCUCUCCCUGCCCUGUGCGACUCCUCCGCAGUGUGGUCAUCCUCCCGCGCGAGCGCGGGUGUGCCGCCGUCGUCGAGAUGAACCGCGCCGCCUUCGGUCGCUGCAUGAAUAGUGCAGGAGCUAGCAAAGCUGCCGCUCGCCGUAUGGAACACCAGUACCACCGUGGGAAGGUGGAAGCACAAAUAGAAGCUGCUCUUUCUUCCUGGCCGAGUAUGGAUCAAGCGUCUCGGUCAUUAGCUUGGCAGCUAUGCAACAUGCCGUCUCGCCAGCACAACUUCAACCCAUCUGCACAGGUUCAGCGACGCCCCCCUUUCCAUGUCCUCUCGAUGGCAGGAUUACCUCGAUCUCUGGUGCAGCCGUGGUGUUCUGGUUCUUCUUUCUCGCUUGCAGAAGAUAAGCUUUCUAAGCACAAGACUCUUCAGCUUACUGAAAACUUUCUUACCCACAAAACUUCUUGCUGA